rnacentral:rRNA from 1 species
AUGAGUGCAUUAUGUUGGAACCGUCACGGCGUGGGUAAACCUGCGAUAGUUCGAGAACUUUGCGAUUUCACGAUGAAGUUUAUCCCUACCAUGUUAUGCAUUGUCGAGACACAAAUAAAUGGUACAUGUGUACAAGCUUUGGCUAAUACUCUAGGGUAUGUUAAAUCUUAUGCUAUCAACAGUCAAGGUAGAAGCGGUGGAAUUGGAAUUUUUUGGAAUAACAUGGGUGAUUCUGUCUACCAUAUAGAUGCAAAGUUAACAGCAGUUGGAGAGGACGCUUGGAGGCUAACGUGUGUCUAUGGUGAGGCACAAACUCAUCUAAGGCACCAAACAUGGGAUCUCCUAAAAGGAAUCAGCACUUUGAAUGACUUGCCUUGCCUUGACGCUUGA